rnacentral:rRNA from 1 species
GACGAACGCUGACGGCGUGCUUAACACAUGCAAGUCGAAGGGAGUGGCGAACGGGUGAGUAACACGUGAGUAACCUGCCCUUUUCUUUGGGAUAAGCCUGGGAAACUGGGUCUAAUACUGGAUGGAUUGGGAUGGGCUCGCGGCUUAUUGGGUGGUUGGUGGGGUGAUGGCUUACCAAGGCUUUGUCGGGUAGCCGGCCGGAGAGGGGGGUCGGUGACUCUGAGACUGCUAUACGGCCCAGACGCGUACGGGAGGCAGAAGUGGGGGAUAUUGCACAAUGGACGAAAGUCUGAUGCAGCGACGUCGUGUGGGGGAUGAAGGCCUUGGGGUUGUAAACUCCUUUCGCCCGCGGAAUGGUAGUGGGUAAAGAAGCGCCGGCUAACUACGUGCCAGCAGCCGCGGUAAUUC